CUUUUUUUUUCUUUUUUUGGAUCAAGGGAUACUGAGUUGAGAUACUGAACUAAGUUAAUCUAAUCUAACCUUAAGCAUGUAACUUAGUCAUCUCAAGAGGACAUAUAUUUGCCCUCAGUUUUCACUCUGGUAGUGAAAAGGCAUAUUAUAGCAGGUUAUUCUGAUGUUAGGACAGCAUGCCCUCUAGAAGUGCCUACAUUCUUACACUGAGUAUGAAGAGAACCUUUUAUAAAUACCUUUUAAUUUAAACAUGCCAGUUAUGUGCUUGCAGAGAAAAGUAUUUUUUGUGAGAUUGCUGGUUGUUUUGCUUUUAACCGAGCUGAAGGUCUACAUUUUUCCUAAUAUUUCACUGGUCACAUCAUCCUAGUCUAUCAAUCAAUAAUUCUAAAAGAAUCUAGGAUGGUUUGAAAGCUUAAAAAAAAAAAGUUACAUGCAUGAAAUAGGAAGUAUAUCAAGCAGUUUAUUGGUCCAAAUUGAUAAUCUCUUUUAGUUCUUUCCUGAGUUAGCACAACCAAAUAUAAUAACUCUCCAAAUGCACUAAGGGAAAAGCCAGCGACCUGUUAAGUGGUUCAGUUUCAUGUUUUUCCUCUGUUUGGAUUGUUUGGGUUUUUUCCUUUACAUGUAAGUAUCACUUUAAAAAAAGUCAAUUCUUUCAUAGACUGGCAUAUGACUUGCUGAGAGAGCUCAGUUCCUUCUGAUGGUUAAAUGGGUUCAUAAAAGUGUCAGGAAAGCCUAAUGCAUAGUGACCAAAUUUGUAUAUGUGCUGAAUGUAUAUUUCUACACUUUUCAAUGAUGUGAAGGCUAAAUGCAGACCAGUCAAAAACAUUCCAUAUUCAGUUUCGGGUUUUUUAAAUGAAUAUUAACAUCCUAAGUCAAAGCUAGGUGUACAUGUGUCAAAACCAACUCUGUUUCUCAGAUGUUUUCACCUACAGAAAUACUGUUCUCUGCAUACAAGUCAGAGUAAAUGAAUAGCAAAAAUCACUGAGUUGAGCAAAUGGUGCUUUUGAAAUUGUCAACUCACGAUUAUUGUCUUUGGAAUAUCAGUCAUACUUUCUAAGGUUUUUUUAUUAUACUUUAGACUGCAAUUAUUAUUACUCACUAUCAUCUCAGUAAACUUCUGAAGAGAUUCUUCCUUCUAUCCAGUGCACGUUGCCACCCCUGUCUAAACAGGUCUGUGUCUAUCAGUCAAGUCCUAGAGCCUGGUUUUGGUUAGUUACAGUGCUAUGUGUGGCUCAGCAAAAAGAAUAGUACUUUAUUUGUUGCCAGUUUUACAGAGUAAAUUAAUCACAUCGCUGCUUUUAGCCCUACAGUGCCAGCAGCCAAAGACUGAUCUCAGGUUUGCUGUUCUGCAUCCUGUGUCAUACUGUCAAUACCUGGAUUUCCUAUGGAUGUGUGUCUACCAAAGCUCAAUGCCACUUGAUCUCAGAUAUGCCCUGAUAUCAAGUGAGUCACUCCAAGGAAAAGCUAUGGCACACAAUCUGCAGUUUGUAUGAAAGCUGCCUGUCAUAUCAGAAAAUAUAUUGGACUUUGGAAGCUUUAAAUCCUUCUGAAUAUGAGUGAAGGACAGUUGAAGGGCAGUAGGUGCUGUCAGAAACAGAGCUGGUUUGUGAUGUAAAUAGAAUUAUUUUUUUAACAUAAACUGUAAUGCUGCGGGGGUUUUUGGUUACACAUUUUCAGUGAUUUCCCAUUUUACCAUAAAACAUAGAUUUAUGGUAAUUCCUGGUCUUAAGUAUUAUUUGUAAAAUCUUUUUAACAAAUAUUUUUAAUAUAUAUUUUUCCUUUCAUAUUGAAUUAUGGAGCACUGUUCCUUUUAUGUCUUAUUUCUAAAAUAAAUUUUGUUUGAAGAU
ensembl:lncRNA